rnacentral:rRNA from 1 species
UACGUAGGGUGCGAGCGUUAAUCGGAAUUACUGGGCGUAAAGCGUGCGCAGGCGGUGAGCUGUGUCCGAUGUGAAAGCCCCGGGCUUAACCUAGGAAUUGCGCUUGAGACUGGAUAGCUUGGAGUGCGGCAGAGGGAGGUGGAAUUCCACGUGUAGCAGUGAAAUGCGUAGAGAUGUGGAGGAACACCGAUGGCGAAGGCAGCCUCCUGGGCCAGCACUGACGCUCAUGCACGAAAGCGUGGGGAGCAAACAGG